rnacentral:rRNA from 1 species
UACGAAUGGAGCAAGCGUUGUUCGGAAUCACUGGGCUUAAAGCGUGCGUAGGCGGAAACAUAAGUCAGGAGUGAAAUCCCGGGGCUCAACCCCGGAACUGCUCUUGAAACUACGUUUCUAGAAUCCGAUAGAGGUCAGGAGAAUUCCCAGUGUAGAGGUGAAAUUCGCAGAUAUUGGGAGGAAUACCAGUGGCGUAGGCGCCUGACUGGGUCGGUAUUGACGCUGAGGCAAGAAAGCGUGGGGAGCAAACAGG